GAUGAACGCUAGCGGCAGGCUUAACACAUGCAAGUCGAACGCACCGCAAGGUGAGUGGCAGACGGGUGAGUAACACGUGGGGAUCUGCCCAAUGGUACGGAAUAGCUCCGGGAAACUGGAAUUAAUACCGCAUACGCCCUACGGGGGAAAGAUUUAUCGGGGAAGGAUUGGCCCGCGUUGGAUUAGCUAGUUGGUGGGGUAAAGGCCUACCAAGGCGACGAUCCAUAGCUGGUCUGAGAGGAUGAUCAGCCACAUUGGGACUGAGACACGGCCCAAACUCCUACGGGGGGCAGCAGUGGGGAAUAUCGGACAAUGGGCGCAAGCCUGAUCCAGCCAUGCCGCGUGAGUGAUGAAGGCCUUAGGGUUGUAAAGCUCUUUCACCGAUGAAGAUAAUGACGGUAGUCGGAGAAGAAGCCCCGGCUAACUUCGUGCCAACAGCCGCCGCGGUAA
rnacentral:rRNA from 1 species